AUUGAACGCUGGCGGCAGGCCUAACACAUGCAAGUCGGACGGUAGCACAGAGGAGCUUGCUCCUUGGGUGACGAGUGGCGGACGGGUGAGUAAUGUCUGGGGAUCUGCCCGAUGGAGGGGGAUAACCACUGGAAACGGUGGCUAAUACCGCAUAACGUCGCAAGACCAAAGAGGGGGACCUUCGGGCCUCUGACUAUCGGAUGAACCCAGAUGGGAUUAGCUAGUAGGCGGGGUAAUGGCCCACCUAGGCGACGAUCCCUAGCUGGUCUGAGAGGAUGACCAGCCACACUGGAACUGAGACACGGUCCAGACUCCUACGGGAGGCAGCAGUGGGGAAUAUUGCACAAUGGGCGCAAGCCUGAUGCAGCCAUGCCGCGUGUAUGAAGAAGGCCUUCGGGUUGUAAAGUACUUUCAGCGGGGAGGAAGGCGAUGCGGUUAAUAACCGCAUCGAUUGACGUUACCCGCAGAAGAAGCACCGGCUAACUCCGUGCCAGCCGCCGCGGUAA
rnacentral:rRNA from 1 species